rnacentral:rRNA from 1 species
AGUGAACGCUGGCGGUAGGCCUAACACAUGCAAGUCGAACGGCAGCACAUUAAGAGCUUGCUUUUACGGGUGGCUAGUGUCGGAUGGGUGAGGAAUACUUCGUAAUCUAUUUUUUCGUUGGGUUUAACGUAGGGAUACUUUCGCUAAUACCGCAUACGUCCUACGUGUGAUAGCAGGGGCUCUUCGGACCUUGCGCGAUUCAAUGAGCCUAUGUCGGAUUAGCUAGUUGGCGGGGUAAAGGCCCACCAAGGCGACCAUCCGUAGCUGGUCUGAGAGGAAGAACAGGCACACUGGAACUGAGAGACGGUGCAGACACCGAAGGGAAGAAGCAGUGGGGAAUAUUGGACAAUGGGCGCAAGCCGGAUACAGCCAUACCGCGUGAGUGAAGAAGGACUUAGGGUUGGAAAGCACUUUUGUUGGGAAAGAAAAGAAGCAGGUUAAUACCCCGAUGUUCUGACGGUACCAAAAGAAUAAGCACCGGCUAACUUCGUG